AUGACCUCGGAUCAGGUAGGGAUACCCGCUGAACUUAAGCAUAUCAAUAAGCGGAGGAAAAGAAACCAACAGGGAUUACCUCAG
rnacentral:rRNA from 1 species